rnacentral:tRNA from 1 species
GGAACAGAAUAGUUUUUAAUUUGCAUUUAAUAUCAUCUAGUAUUUUUAGUAUUGGCUGUUUCU